UCGGGGCCGGGGUACAAAAGCUGCGCGCAGGCGCGGCUCCCCUCUCUUUGCCGCACGGCGAGACCCUGCCCCGGAGCCGCCAUGGGCCGCCGCCCCGCGCGCUGCUACCGGUACUGCAAGAACAAGCCCUACCCCAAGUCCCGCUUCUGCAGGGGCGUCCCCGGUGAGUCUCGCCCGCGA